UGAGACACGAUGAAUCCCGCCCAGAGUUUGACACAAAACAUCAUCUAGAAUGCGAUCCUCCAGAGAAUCAGAUACUCCAUGCGACGGACGCCAAGCAUCAUGCUGUCUUCUGCUCUAGUGAAAGCUGAUCGCCUCGCAGUUCAUGUGGGUAAAAAAUAUGCACCAUUUUAUGAAUUCAUAGCGCGAACCCUUAAGUCUCAAACAGGCGAUGUAGAUUUUCACAGCGCUACAUCGAUCACGGGAAAAUACAAAACCAUAGUUGAUCUACCGGGACCCAGUUUGACCACAACUGUGUACUGGCUCUUCGUCAAAGGAUACGCGGAUAAAAGUCAUGCAAUGCAGGUGGAGCAUAAGCGCCUGUAUGGUCCGAUCUGGCGGUCACGCUUUGGGCCGUUUGAUGUGGUAAAUGUGGCGACGGCUGAACUGAUUGCACAGGUGAUGCGACAGGAGGGUCGGUAUCCGGUACGCACUGAUCUGCCUCACUGGAAAGAAUACAGAGACAUGAGAGGACAGGCAUAUGGACUUCAUGUAGAUACAGGCCCUGAGUGGUAUCGCAUCCGCAGUGCUCUGAACCCUAAGAUGCUUAAACUAAAGGAAGCAGCAGCAUAUGCACCCAUCAUUCACGAGGUUGUGUCUGAUCUCCUACAGCGUGUGGAACUCCUGCGUCUGCGCAGUCAAGACCAGGCCACCGUCAAUGACCUCACCUCUGAGCUCUACAAAUUUGGCUUUGAGGGAAUCUCAUCAAUCCUGUUCGAAACACGUUUAGGGUGUUUACAGGAGGAAAUUCCAACAGACACUCUGCGGUUCAUAUCUGCCGUUAAUGACAUGUUGGCGCUGUCAGAGACUGUUCUUUUUUUCCCACGCUGGACGCGUCACAUCUUCCCGUUCUGGAAACGCUUUGUCCAGGCGUGGGAUGACUUGUAUGACGUAGCCCGUCAUCUGAUUGAUAGGAAGGUGAAGCAGAUACAUGAUCAGGCUGAGCGUGGAGAGCAGGUGGAGGGCAUGUAUCUCACCUACCUGCUGUCCAGCAAUAAACUCAGCUUAGGAGAGGUGUACAUCAGCCUGACUGAACUUCUGCUGGGAGGUGUGGAUACGACGUCCAACACAUUAUCGUGGACCCUGUACCACCUUGCACGAGAUGCAGAAGUCCAGAACCGCCUCUAUAUUGAGAUCACAUCUGUGUGUCCCAGUAAAGAGCUGCCGACCACAGAACACCUGGCAAUGAUGCCCUACAUGAAGGCUGUCAUCAAAGAAACUCUCAGGAUGUAUCCUGUUGUUCCUGGUAAUGGACGCCUGUCUGUGGAUUCGGAAGUAAUUGUGGAUAAUUAUUGGUUCCCUAAGAAGUUUUCACUCUCUCUUCACAGACACAGUUCCAUCUCUGUCAUUAUGCUGUUAGUCACGAUGAGCGUAAUUUCCCUGAACCGGAGCGUUUCGUUCCAGACCGCUGGUUGAGAGACAGCCCGUCUCGCUCUCAGCAUCACCCCUACAGUUCUGUCCCGUUUGGGGUUGGUGUUCGGGCCUGUGUGGGGAAGAGGGUCGCAGAGCUGGAGAUGUACUUUGCCCUAAGUAGACUGAUGCAGCAUUAUGAAGUCAGAACGGAGGAAGGAGCCCCAUCCAUACAGCCCAAAACCAGAACCCUGCUCAUUCCCUCUAAACCCAUUGACCUGCAGUUUAUCCCUCGGGCUUGAUACCAGCGAACAGCAUUAUUAACUCAAAUCAUAUUGCCUUAGAUGUCCUAGUGGCCCCUACCUGUUGCUGUGAAAUGCUGCAUGUGGUAAUUUAGGGUCGAAGGUAAAAGUGGGCCAGCUUUUAAAAUAAAUCACAACUGAUCUUAAAUAUUAUUAGAAGGAUUUACAGCUAAAGUGUGAGUAAAAAGUCUCUUGCAAAAUCACUAUUGCUCUUUAACAGUGUGAAGGGAAAGCAGACAGGGAGAGAUAGAAGAAAACCUUAUGUUCAUGUGCUGGUGGCAGUGUCUCUGCAGAGAUAAUGCGGACAGCUUACAAAACUUGCUAUUUGCUAUGGCCAUGUGUCUGAUCAAGCAGAAAGAAUGUUCUUUAAAAAUGUUUUCUGACUGUGUUUUUUUAAUUUUUUAUACACUAUAUUGAUGUUAUGGCAUUAGCUUCAACCUUUAAUCAAAGGACAUCCUUUGGAAAUCUGCACUUUCCUUGCUAUUUGUUUUGAGCCAGGCUGAAAGCAACUAUUUAACUAAAAAGUUUAAAUAGAAUCAGAAUGAACUAUAAAUGGUAGUUUAUGUAAAAUUUCAGCUUGUUGCUGAGGCAGCUUUUUUCAUUUUGUUUUUGUUUACCUUGAUGUACUGAAAUAACUAAAAUUGAAAUGAAAACAGAACUUAUAAAAAUUCAAACUAAAUUAAAAUAAGAACUGUAAUUGUAUCUAGAUAUAUUAACACUGUAGUUGUUCUUAUCAAUAAAGAUCAAUUUCAA